AAAAUUUGUAAAUUGCAAAAAGUUGAAAAACAAACGUUUCUUUACCUGAAAAGUGAAAGUAGGUUUGCAGUUUCUUAUUCUGUCAAGUGCUAUUGCACUUUAAAGUGUCAAAACAGCACCUCUCGAUUUUGUAAACAUGUUUCCACGUGGAAGGGAGUAGUGUGUCGGUCAAGAUUAACCCACAUACAUUGAUUUAGUAAACAAAAACACUCGUUAGAGUACAUUUUGAACAGCCAUCUCCAGGUAUGACAAAAAUAACACAAUUGACCCUACAUGUAUAAGGAUAUACUCUGAAGACAGCGAUGUGCAAGUUCAAGGUUUGACUGUUCAGAUACUUUAAUAAUAAAGAAUGGGUGAAAAAAUUCUCACGUCAUGCUGCAUAACAGUACAUUUCAGCUGUAACAAAACAAAUUAUCUGAUGAAAGCUUCAACCACAAGAAUCUAGGAAAGGAUGUCAAGUCCAAAGAGAAGACCAUAUAACAAAUGGUUGCUGAAUUCAUGAAGACUAGCUGGGAUGAUACAGUACUUUUCUACUCUUAUAAACCAUAUCUAAACAUCAUUUGAGGAUCCCUUUCUCAGAAAAAAAGAAUCUGCAUAUUCAAAGACUCUAUAGUUUAUUGUUUAUUUGUACGUUGUUUAACAUUCUUUUUGAGAAUUUUUCACUCAUAUGGGGAUGCCAACAUUUGCCGGUGGAGAGCUGCAAAUUUUGUCCUUUACUUGGCACACAUAGCUAAUUGAGCAAUCAGGAAUCUUUUUGGUGCUAGCACCUACUGCAACACAGGACCUCUGUAUAUACAGUUUCAUUUCUAUGUCCGACUGGGGGAUUUCGAACCAGCAAUUUAAGGAUCAACUCCUUACUCAUGGCUCUCGAGCAGACGCUCUUGCCACUGUGCCAUGCAGGUGACUUCAUAGGUUAUAAAAUAAUAAGAUAAGAUUUAUAACUUAAAACUGAAGUUUUUAAUUCAAUCACAGUAUAGAAAAUGUUUGCAAAAAAGGGAGGUAAUAGCUACAAGUAGCUCUCUCUGGUAUUGCAUGCUUAAACUAUAUGAAUUACAUAUUGUAAUUACACAUGUAUUUUAGAAACACUUGAAUAUGUUUACUGUGAAUUUUAUUAUAAAGUUGAUUAUCUUUAAAAAAUGGAACUUUAAUUUUUUUUAGUAGGAAAAAAAUAUUUAGAAUGUACAUGUGCAUUAAUUUUGUUUAUUAAAUAUAGUCAAAGUUUGGAGAUCUUGUGAAAGGUAUCUAAUUAAUAAAAUAUGUGAAGGGUAUCUAAAUAUUGAUUUAUAAAUUUUUACUUCAUUUUUAAACAGCAU